GCUAGGCGUGGUGGUGCACACCUGCAGUCACAGCUCCUUGGGAGGUUGAGGCAGUAGGAUCACUUGAGCCCAGGAGUUUUGGGCUGUAGUGUGUUAAUGCCAGUUGGGUGUUUGCAUUAAGUUCAGCAUCAAUGUGGUGACCUCCCAUGAACAGAAGACUAACAGGUUACUUAGGGAAGGGUGAAUUGACCCAGGUUGGAAAUGGAACAGGUCAAAACUCCAGUGCUGAUUAGUAGUGGAAUCACACCUAUGAAAAGCCACUGCUCUCUAGUCUGGGCAGCAUAAGGAGACCCUGUCUCU
ensembl:misc_RNA Metazoa_SRP Metazoan signal recognition particle RNA